rnacentral:rRNA from 1 species
GGAUAAUCGUUGGAAACGACGACUAAUACCGCAUACGAUUUUCUGAAGGCAUCUUCGGAAAAAGAAAGGAAAUAUUCGGUAAAAGAUGGGCCCGCAUCUGAUUAGCUAGUUGGUGAGAUAAUAGCCCACCAAGGCAACGAUCAGUAGCCGACCUGAGAGGGUGACCGGCCACAUUGGGACUGAGACACGGCCCAAACUCCUACGGGAGGCAGCAGUGGGGAAUAUUGCACAAUGGGCGAAAGCCUGAUGCAGCAACGCCGCGUGAAGGAAGACGGUUUUCGGAUUGUAAACUUCUAUCAAUAGGGAAGAAAGAAAUGACGGUACCUAAAUAAGAAGCCCCGGCUAACUACGUGCCAGCAGCCGCGGUAAUACGUAGGGGGCAAGCGUUAUCCGGAAUUACUGGGUGUAAAGGGAGAGUAGGCGGCAAGGUAAGCGAUAUGUGAAAGCCUUAAGCUUAACUUAAGGAUUGCAUAACGAACUAUCUAGCUAGAGUACAGGAGAGGAAAGCGGAAUUCCUAGUGUAGCGGUGAAAUGCGUAGAUAUUAGGAAGAACACCAGUGGCGAAGGCGGCUUUCUGGACUGAAACUGACGCUGAGGCUCGAAAGCGUGGGGAGCGAACAGGAUUAGAUACCCUGGUAGUCCACGCUGUAAACGAUGAGUGCUAGGUGUCGGGGAGGAACUCCCGGUGCCGGAG